UUUACCCUGGGGUGUGCGUCAGCAGGAUUUACGUCCCUGAGCCGAUAAGCAACACUAAAGGGUUGGUAUUCGUUGACUAUUGAGCAAGCUCGGCCUGGACCGAGAAGCCUACGGUUGACCUUAUUGACCCGCCUUGAACCAGCUGGUUCAAGGGCUAAAAUCCUCAACGGCACUCUGGGGUUCCU
rnacentral:other from 1 species